UACAGAGGGUGCAAGCGUUAAUCGGAAUUACUGGGCGUAAAGAGCUCGUAGGUGGUUUGUCGCGUUGUUCGUGAAAACUCACAGCUCAACUGUGGGCGUGCGGGCGAUACGGGCAGACUUGAGUACUGCAGGGGAGACUGGAAUUCCUGGUGUAGCGGUGGAAUGCGCAGAUAUCAGGAGGAACACCGGUGGCGAAGGCGGGUCUCUGGGCAGUAACUGACGCUGAGGAGCGAAAGCGUGGGGAGCGAACAGG
rnacentral:rRNA from 1 species